rnacentral:rRNA from 1 species
CCUACGGGUGGCAGCAGUGAGGAAUAUUGGUCAAUGGACGGAAGUCUGAACCAGCCAUGCCGCGUGCAGGAAGACGGCUCUCUGAGUUGUAAACUUCUUUUGUACAAGGGUAAACCUCAAUACGUGCAUUGAGAUGAAAGUACUGUACGAAUACGGAUCGGCUAAAUCCGUGCCAGCAGCCGCGGUAAUACGGAGGAUGCGAGCGUUAUCCGGAUUUAUUGGGUUUAAAGGGUGCGUAGGUGGGAAAGUAAGUCAGAAGGGAAAGUUUGUGUGUCAACCCUAAAAUUGCCGUUGAAACUGGUUGACUUGAGUGUAGUAGAGGUAGGCGGAAUGCGUGGUGUAGCGGCGAAAUGCAGAGAUAUCACGCAGAACACCGAUGGCGAAGGCAGCUUACUGGGCUAUAACUGACGCUGAGGCACGAAAGCGUGGGGAUCAAACAGGAUUAGAUACCCCAGUAGUC